CCUACGGGAGGCAGCAGUGAGGAAUAUUGGUCAAUGGGCGGAAGCCUGAACCAGCCAAGUAGCGUGCAGGAUGACGGCCCUACGGGUUGUAAACUGCUUUUAUACGGGAAUAACGCGCCUUACGUGUGGGGCUUUGCAUGUACCGUGUGAAUAAGGACCGGCUAAUUCCGUGCCAGCAGCCGCGGUAAUCCGGGAGGUCCGGGCGUUAUCCGGAUUUAUUGGGGUUAAAGGGAGCGUAGGCCGCAUGUCAAGCGUGCUGUGAAAUGUCCGGGCGCAACCCGGGCCUUGCCGCGGGAACUGGCGGGCUGGAGUCGGAGGAAAGCAGGCGGAAUGCGUGGUGUAGCGGUGAAAUGCUUAGAUAUGACGAAGAACCCCGAUUGCGAAGGCAGCUUGCUGCAGCGGAACUGACGCUGAUGCUCGAAAGCGCGGGUAUCGAACAGGAUUAGAUACCCCAGUAGUC
rnacentral:rRNA from 1 species